rnacentral:lncRNA from 10 species
AGUGUUUGUACCAGCUCUUCUUUGUAUGUCUGUUAGAAUUUGGCUGUGAAUUCACCGGAUCUGGGCCUUUUAUGAAAAAUCUUCAUGGAGUGGCAAAAGUUGUUUACCUGAAGCUCACAAGAUGUAUCCAGAAAAUAUCACCAGGGAUCAGAUCAAGCCUGACCCCCAUUUUACAUCUUCUGUAACCAGAAGCACUCCAAGAACAACACUUUCAUUCAUGGACUUAACAACUACAUUAGAUCAUACCAGCCUGUCACUUCAAAGUCACCAGUGUCAAGGAACAUUUCAAAUUGGCUUAAAGCAUUGUUUUGGAGGUGUGAAUAAUGAAGCCAAGGACAUUAGCAACAUCAUGAAAGCAGACUUCAUUGUCCACCUGGUGAGUCCCCAAAGAGCUAACAAAAGGCACUGGACCUUGAAUAUGACAAGACCACAGACUUUGUUUCCUGCAAUGUACAGAAAAAAAAUGGCUUUUAUAGGAAAAAAAAUCUUCAAAAGUCAUUUUAAAAAUAAAAGG